rnacentral:rRNA from 1 species
UACGUAGGGGGCAAGCGUUGUCCGGAUUUAUUGGGCGUAAAGAGCGUGUAGGCGGCCAUACAGGUCAGCUGUGAAAACUCGAGGCUCAACCUCGAGACGUCGGUUGAAACCGUAUGGCUAGAGUCCGGAAGAGGAGAGUGGAAUUCCUGGUGUAGCGGUGAAAUGCGCAGAUAUCAGGAAGAACACCAAUGGCGAAGGCAGCUCUCUGGGACGGUACUGACACUGAGACGCGAAAGCGUGGGGAGCGAACAGG